CAACCAAUUGGCAGGUCCUCUAAACGUCUCUCAUUCCAGUUGGGAUGUUUAAGAACCACGAAUGUUGCGCCCCGCUGCAGCUGCUGCAAAAGCUUUCGUAAGUUUUGGGAGGAAUGUCACGUAAUGGCAAUCGAUUUAAAGUAUAAAAAUGGUUUGGGAUUGAGGACGGAUGUCUCGCGCUGUCUCGUUCGUUGUUGUUUUAAUAUUUCAGCCAAAUAGAGGGGCUGUCUCUUUAUUCUGACCUUGUGCGGUGGUCUGUGUUAGUUAGCCGCAGAUGAGAAAAAUUUACAUUAAUGACAGACACGUCACUUUCAGUAACUCUUCCUUGGUUUUUUAUGCUUUCACAGAUGCUUGGCCAGGCAGAGAGAGAGAGACAGAGAGAAGACGCCACACUGAUGGCAUCAAACGCACUCAUGCUGAUACGUCCGUUGUGCGCUUUUCCCAGGAAAGGAGAACUCUAAGGUGUCUGAAAUCCACAUUCAUAUUUUCUCUAUUAACCUCCCCCUUCACGCUAACACACACACAGAUCCCUGAAGUCAUCUGUCCUGUGAAUCAGCUUUCUGUUUGGAAUCUGCGUUGUUUGGGUGUGUAUGAGCGGGAAAGCGCGUGGAAGUACGCGCCAGUACCCGCCCCUCUGGCUGCAGCCGGCGUGUGACAUCAAGCAGUAAUGUAGCACUCUUCAGUUUGCCAAACUCAGGGCUUCAUCGCUGGAUCUCUCCUCUGGCUGGGAUGCCUCUCCCUGGGUCUAAUUGCUGGCUCCCUCCCCAGACGUCCAUGCCAAGCUCCGGGGCUAAUUGUUAGCAUUCCCCUCUGGCAGAGAGGCAUGGCUGCAUCUCACCAGCUAAAUUAUCACAGGUCUGCUUUGAUUGGUUCUGGACAUGAAGUCGAGCGAGGCUAACCUGCAGAGUGAAGCGAAAUGCUAACACACACAAGCGGCUCUAAAACCCUAGACAGACACCAUCACAUCCCAGCGAUGCAUCCCUUACACAACCUUACCUCUUCCAACACGUGACGUGCUGUUAAAGUGGAGCGGCGCUCUCAUCUACGCCGAUUCUCUGUGGGCGUCCGCUCGUGCAUUAGUCAUUGUGAGCGAGGUGCACAAACCGCGCAGCCUUUGUCGCUGUAACCUUGUCUCUUCUCUGUCC